AGAAGUAGAAGAAAAGACACAAAACUCUUCGUGAUCCAGAAGAGUGCUAGAAAGUAAUUAGACUUAAAAUAAUAUCAAAUGUCAAUGUAUACCUUGAAAACUUGAUUUUGGACCCGGCGAAGGGAAACAAGCAUGUGGCCAACAACACCCUUCGAAGUAGGAUACACUUAAAAAAUAUUGAAAAAAAGAUGUUUGAAGCCAAACCCGCUUUCCUCUGGUAUUCGUACCAGUAUUGAAAC
rnacentral:lncRNA from 1 species